CGGGCGGGUGCUAUACUGCAAGUCGAGCGGACUUUAAAAGCUUGCUUUUAAAGUUAGCGGCGGACGGGUGAGUAACACGUGGGCAACCUGCCUGUAAGACUGGGAUAACUUCGGGAAACCGGAGCUAAUACCGGAUAAUCCUUUUCUACUCAUGUAGAAAAGCUGAAAGACGGUUUACGCUGUCACUUACAGAUGGGCCCGCGGCGCAUUAGCUAGUUGGUGAGGUAACGGCUCACCAAGGCAACGAUGCGUAGCCGACCUGAGAGGGUGAUCGGCCACACUGGGACUGAGACACGGCCCAGACUCCUACGGGAGGCAGCAGUAGGGAAUCUUCCGCAAUGGACGAAAGUCUGACGGAGCAACGCCGCGUGAGUGAUGAAGGUUUUCGGAUCGUAAAACUCUGUUGUUAGGGAAGAACAAGUACAAGAGUAACUGCUUGUACCUUGACGGUACCUAACCAGAAAGCCACGGCUAACUACGUGCCAGCAGCCGCGGUAAUACGUAGGUGGCAAGCGUUGUCCGGAAUUAUUGGGCGUAAAGCGCGCGCAGGCGGUCCUUUAAGUCUGAUGUGAAAGCCCACGGCUCAACCGUGGAGGGUCAUUGGAAACUGGGGGACUUGAGUGCAGAAGAGAAGAGUGGAAUUCCACGUGUAGCGGUGAAAUGCGUAGAGGAUGUGGAGGAACACCAGUUGGGGAAGGCGACUCUUUGGUCUCGUAACUGACGCUGAGGCGCGCAAAGCGUGUGGGAGCAAACACGGAUUAUGAUAUCCCUGGGAGUUUCACGCCCGUAAAACGAGAAGUGGUAUGGUUGUUAGAGGGUUUUCGCCCUUUAGUGGUGCAGCCAAAGCAUUUAACACUCCGCCUGGGGAGUUCGGGCUCAAAGGUGAAAAUCAAAAGAAAUGACGGGGGGCCGCACCAGCGGGGGAGCAUGUGGGUUUAAUUGAAACAAAGCGAAAAAACCUUCCCCGUCUUGACAUCCUUUGGCACUUCCAGAGAUAGGGAGUUUCCCUUUCGGGGGCAGAAUGACAGGUGGUGCAUGGUUGUUGUCAGCUUGUGUUGUGAGAUGUUGGGUUAAGUUCCGCAACGAGCGCAACCCUUGAUUUUAGUUGCCAGCCUUUAGUUGGGCCCUUUAAGGUGACUGCCGGUGACCAACCGGAGGAAGGUGGGGAAGACGUCAAAUCAUCCUGCCCCUUAUGACCUGGGGUACACACGUGGUACAAUGGGAGGUACAAAGGGCAGCAAAACCGCGAGGUUGAGCCAAUUCCAUAAAACCCUUUUCAGUUCGGGAUGUAGGGUGCAACUUGCCUACCUGAAGCUGGAAUCGCUUGUAAUCGCGGAUCAGCAUGCCGCGGGGAAUACGUUCCCGGGCCUUGUACACACCCCCCGUCACACCCCGAGAGUUUGUAACCCCCGAAGUCGGUGGGGUAACCUUAAGGAGCCAGCCGCCUAAGGUCAUGAU
rnacentral:rRNA from 1 species